rnacentral:rRNA from 1 species
AUUGAACGCUGGCGGCAGGCCUAACACAUGCAAGUCGAACGGUAACAGGAAACAGCUUGCUGUUUCGCUGACGAGUGGCGGACGGGUGUGUAAUGUCUGGGAAACUGCCUGAUGGAGGGGGAUAACUACUGGAAACGGUAGCUAAUACCGCAUAACGUCGCAAGACCAAAGAGGGGGACCUUCGGGCCUCUUGCCAUCGGAUGUGCCCAGAUGGGAUUAGCUAGUAGGUGGGGUAACGGCUCACCUAGGCGACGAUCCCUAGCUGGUCUGAGAGGAUGACCAGCCACACUGGAACUGAGACACGGUCCAGACUCCUACGGGAGGCAGCAGUGGGGAAUAUUGCACAAUGGGCGCAAGCCUGAUGCAGCCAUGCCGCGUGUAUGAAGAAGGCCUUCGGGUUGUAAAGUACUUUCAGCGGGGAGGAAGGGAGUAAAGUUAAUACCUUUGCUCAUUGACGUUACCCGCAGAAGAAGCACCGGCUAACUCCGUG